rnacentral:rRNA from 1 species
AUUGAACGCUGGCGGCAUGCUUUACACAUGCAAGUCGAACGGUAACAGGCCGCAAGGUGCUGACGAGUGGCGAACGGGUGAGUAAUGCAUCGGAACGUGCCCAGUCGUGGGGGAUAACGCAGCGAAAGCUGCGCUAAUACCGCAUACGAUCUAUGGAUGAAAGCGGGGGACCGUAAGGCCCCGCGCGAUUGGAGCGGCCGAUGUCAGAUUAGGUAGUUGGUGGGGUAAAGGCUCACCAAGCCAGCGAUCUGUAGCCGGUCUGAGAGGACGACCAGCCACACUGGGACUGAGACACGGCCCAGACUCCUACGGGAGGCAGCAGUGGGGAAUUUUGGACAAUGGGCGCAAGCCUGAUCCAGCAAUGCCGCGUGCAGGAAGAAGGCCUUCGGGUUGUAAACUGCUUUUGUACGGAACGAAAAGGCUCUGGAUAAUACCUGGGGCUCAUGACGGUACCGUAAGAAUAAGCACCGGCUAACUACGUGCCAGCAGCCGCCGUAACAC